AGCCUGAUGGAGCAACGCCGCGUGAGUGAUGAAGGCCUUCGGGUUGUAAAACUCUGUCAUUCGGGACGAACCGGAGUCUGAGGAAAUGCAGACUCUCUGACGGUACCGGAGGAGGAAGCCCCGGCUAACUACGUGCCAGCAGCCGCGGUAAUACGUAGGGGGCAAGCGUUGUCCGGAUUCACUGGGCGUAAAGCGCGCGCAGGCGGUGAUGUAAGUCUGAGGUGAAAACCCGAAGCUCAACUUCGGGACUGCCUUGGAUACUGCGUCACUUGAGGAUAGGAGAGGCAAGGGGAAUUCCACGUGUAGCGGUGAAAUGCGUAGAGAUGUGGAGGAACACCUGUGGCGAAGGCGCCUUGCUGGCCUAUUUCUGACGCUGAGGCGCGAAAGCGUGGGGAGCAAACAGGAUUAGAUACCCUGGUAGUCCACGCUGUAAACGAUGAGUGCUAGGUGUAGGUGGGCUCAUACCCAUCUGUGCCGAAGCUAACGCAUUAAGCACUCCGCCUG
rnacentral:rRNA from 1 species